GCCUGGGGAAUAAUGCAGUAAAGGAAGUGAGCCGGCUCGGCCUGACUGCUCCAACUUCCUGCUCUCACACACACCAGAGGGGAAAAAAAAGAGGAGCGAGAGAAAGAAAAAAAAAGGGGGGGAAAAAUCAGGAUCUCAUUACAAGAGCAACAGACCGUCUGCAGACGCCUGUCAGCAUGGAAAGUCGGGGGCUUUCGCCCGGUUCCUCCUAGAAAUUCCCCCGAAGAAGGAUCUCGAAAGCUCCCCCACAUCUGGGUAUGGAGAGUGCAAUCACGCUGUGGCAGUUCCUGUUGCAGUUGCUGCUGGACCAGAAACAUGAGCAUCUGAUCUGCUGGACUUCCAACGAUGGUGAGUUCAAGCUCCUCAAAGCAGAAGAAGUGGCCAAGCUGUGGGGACUCCGCAAAAACAAGACGAACAUGAACUACGACAAGCUGAGCAGAGCCCUGCGCUACUAUUAUGACAAG